rnacentral:lncRNA from 1 species
UAAUUGUUACCUUUGUAGCAAACGCAAUGCAUUCAGCGCGCUUCUUUUCGAAACAUUCUGAGAAUGUCUGCAUAAUGAGGCAGGCACACCAUUCGCUUUCUUGGAGCAUUUGAUUCCAGACACCCUCAACUAAUGAAUGUCACAACCAAUGUGUGGUGGGGUUCCACCGAAGAAACUUUAAUGUACACGACUCAAGAUUAUGCGUGUGGUGUUGUAAAGGUGAAGUUAUUAAAUCAAGGUGGUGGGGUUCAUUAUGAACUCCGCGUAAGAAAUCGUUCAGUGGAAUGUCCUGAUAAUCAGUGCAAAAAAUACUACCGUAAGGCUACCUUGAAGUGGCGCCGGAAAACCAUUUACAGCCCAGAAUGCCAACAUAUGCUUGUCACCAAAAGGAGCAAACUUCGUUAAAGCGUUCCUUACAUCAGCCUUAUGUUUCAUGGUAAAUGUCUUACACACAUAAACGUUUCGUAUUACAAACGAAA